GUGCCAGCAGCCGCGGUAAUACGUAGGUGGCAAGCGUUGUCCGGAAUUAUUGGGCGUAAAGCGCGCGCAGGCGGUCCUUUAAGUCUGAUGUGAAAGCCCACGGCUCAACCGUGGAGGGUCAUUGGAAACUGGGGGACUUGAGUGCAGAAGAGGAAAGCGGAAUUCCACGUGUAGCGGUGAAAUGCGUAGAGAUGUGGAGGAACACCAGUGGCGAAGGCAGCUUUCUGGUCUGUAACUGACGCUGAGGCGCGAAAGCGUGGGGAGCAA
rnacentral:rRNA from 1 species